GGGCCCAUAGCUCAAUAGCGCAGAGCGUCCGGCUCAUAACCGGUUGGUUGCAGGUUCGACCCCUGCUGGGCCCA
rnacentral:tRNA from 1 species